rnacentral:tRNA from 1 species
AGGGGUGUAGCUUAGUGAUAGAGCACUUGCUUAACAUGCAUGAGACUCUGGGCUUGAUAACCAGCACCACAA